UUGGGAAAUCCCCUGGACCUGACAGAGUUUUCUAUGAAAGGAGGGAAUGUAUGAAAUCAGAACCCUCUCACAUGUGUGUCUGCCUGCUGGUGACAAGACGGGUGGGAAUUUCUGAGCAGUCUCAUGGAUAAAUGAGGUCAUCACUGAUAAGCACGUGUGGAAUUCUCUAAACACUGGGUGACCCAGGGGAUUUCUGCUGUUGGUAGCCAAGGAAUACCUCUGCCUUUUCUGCUUCUAUAAAUCCAGUUGAGAAAAUUAUUCUUCUCAUCCUCUCCAAAGCUCCACUGACUGCACCCAGGGUAAUAAAAGGACUUACCAUGUCAUGCAGGGCCGCCUAAGGUUCUGCUGCUCUCUGGUUCAGACAUUUUCAUACUGAGAUGCCCAUGAUCCCCCAUGGUGAGCUGUCUCCUUCACUGCAGUGAACAAUAACACCAACUUGCUCGUCCACAGAUGUACUCCUGGUGGCCCUUGGCCAAAGGCAUUAACAGCACUUCAUUGGACUGAUGUGAAGGAUAUAAAUAUCCUGCACCUGGACUGAAAAGUUCCCAGGGCUCUUCAACUGUCCUUAUGAUGUUGUAGUAUCAUCCCCAUUUUACAAGGAGACAAUGGAUUUCAGAAAGGUGAAAGAAUUUGCCCAGGGUCACACAGCUGGUGAGUGAAGGGCUGAAAUGUGACAAAGGCAAGUCAUGAGUUCCU